CCUCUCUCAUCUCCUUCUCCCUUUCACACCUAAGAAAGGGAAUAUGAUCUGACCUGGACCAGGUGUGAUUUCAGAGAUGUUGGAAAGAGAGCCGAUUCUUCCUCCAGCCCUGUGCUCAGAGAGUCCUCCUAGCAACCUGGUACCUAACAAGACACAGGGCAUGUUAUUCCACAGUUAGCAAUCAACCUUAGAUCCACAAAAUGUCAUCAUGAUGGGCUUAAAUCGAUUCCUAGUAUAAACCUGUUCCUCAGUUUUUAUCCUGUUAGGAUUAAAGAGCAUAAAAAUGGGAGGGUAGUGUGCCAGAGAUACCUUUGUAUAACUUCACUGCUAGUCAGUCUGAUGAAUGGCAGAUCUGUUUAAAUGACAUUCCUCUGUCCGCCAUUUAAAUAGGAUUCCUCUGCGUUAUCUUUCCUGGACCUGGAGGAUUCAGUGGCAUUUUCCCCUCAAACUUCUAAAACUCUGAGCCUUUGUAGGCCAGAAUUGUGGUUACUGCCCUUGCAUUCCCAGGAUGGCAAAAUCCUGGUACAAAGUAGGUACUGACUAAACACUUCUCAAAUGGAAGAAAGAAAGCAUAUGUUAGGCAAGUGAAAGGAAAUCUAAGUGGAUAGCUUGCAGUAGAUAAAUUCUUACGUCUGUUGCAGAGGAAAUACCUUAGUGUCUAAGUACAAGCAUAUAGUAUCACCUCAAAACUGGCAAGUGGCAUUGAAGUAUAUUGAACAGAAUUCAAGAUUUCUGCAAAAGGCUAUUAAAAAGUUAGAAAAUAAAAUGCUGAUUGUGUGUAUCAGUAUGCCUUUAUGUUCUUGAAUAUGUAAGACAAUAUGUAAGAUAGGGCCAAGCAGGUAGGAUGCUUUCUCCAACUCCAGCUCCUUCCCUGGUGGGGCUGAGCAGCACACAGGCCACACUGAUGGACGCCAUAUCAGUUUUUCCCACAGAUGCUGUGAGCAGACACAAGGUGGAGGCUGAAUAAAACUGAGCAGGGUACAGAAAAUGAUUGAUGAAAACACAGGAAGUGUGGGUCAAAGAGUUUUGACAUUGGUUUGUUCCUGGUUCCACGAUGGAGAAAAAAGCUUAAUAAAUCACCAGAUCUGUGUGAUUUUAUCAGUGGAUGUAAAUGCUAUUUUAGUCUUUGAAAACUUGCCUUCUGUCCUCAAGGUUAGAGAGCUUUCCUGACACUAGUUUAGAGUGUUGUAAUGACUCUUUUCAUAGAGCAGUCUCUUAUUACAUCUGUACUUUCCAAACUUUUCUGGUUUUAUUAAGUUAGUAACUCAAGACACAGAAAAUAGUGAAGAAAAAAAAAACUAGUAAUCACUCACUGUAUAAUAAACUUUUGAAGCAUUAGUCUCAUUGCCAAAACAUCCUAAGGAAAACUUAAUGUAAAAUAGGUAAGAAACUAAGUCACAGGGGUGGUUUAAGUAGAUGGGGGUAGUGUCACAGAGCAAAGCCAUGGAGCCUCUCAAGCCCAGUGCCUGUUCUCCUU
rnacentral:lncRNA from 1 species